rnacentral:rRNA from 1 species
GAAUUUUAUAUUAAUAAUAAAAAAUUAUUUUAUAAAUUAAAUAUUUUUAUAAAAAUUAUUAUUAAUAUUUUAUUGGGAGGAUAAUUAAAUUUUAUUAACUUUAAUUAAAAUAAUAAUAUUAAUUAAUAGAGAAAGUAAUUAGAGUAUAUUAGUUUUUAGUAAAAUAAGAAUUAAUUACCUUAGGGAUAACAGCAUAAAAUUUUUAGAGAGAUCUUAUUAAUAAAAAUAUUUGU